rnacentral:rRNA from 1 species
AACGAACGCUGGCGGCGUGCCUAACACAUGCAAGUCGUGCGAGAAAGUUCCUUCGGGAGCGAGUAAAGCGGCGCACGGGUGAGUAACACGUAGGUAACCUGCCCCCCAGUCUGGAACAACUAGAGGAAACUCUAGCUAAUGCCGGAUGAGACCACGAUCCCUUCGGGGGUUGCGGCCAAAGAUGGCCUCUACUUGUAAGCUAUCGCUGAGGGAUGGGCCUGCGGGCCAUUAGCUUGUUGGUGAGGUAACGGCUCACCAAGGCUGUGAUGGCUAGCUGGUCUGAGAGGAUGACCAGCCACACUGGGACUGAGACACGGCCCAGACUCCUACGGGAGGCAGCUGUGGGGAAUAUUGCGCAAUGGGCGAAAGCCUGACGCAGCGACGCCGCGUGGGUGAUGAAGGCCU